rnacentral:lncRNA from 1 species
GGAGGAUACACCUAGCAGGGCAUGGGUGAAGACAGUGGUUUGCUGAUUGUAUCCUAAAGAGAAUGUGCUUAUGUGCUUUGUCCCUUCCAGUCUGGCUGCCCUCUGAAGCCUCCCUGUCCUCCUUCCUCCCCAGUCACAACUAUUACCUGAAGCCAUUCUGCACUAGGCUCCCACUGCCUCCCUGGAGGCUGCAUUUGACUCCUCCCUGCUCCCAGGCCUCCCUUUCUUGGGAAACCUCUCUCUCUCUCCUACUUUUUUCAAAUUCCACUUGUUCCUGCAAAUAUUUUUUCCCUUAUGUAUCCUCUAUAAACAGUGUAAGUUCUUCUAUGGGCUUACAUUUUAUUUUUAGAAACAAAAGCCAGAAGGGGCAAAGGCUACUUUACUUUCUACACCUGAAGUAGUGGCUAUUGACAUGAAUAUGGAAAGGGCAAAGGACAAAUAAAAUGGUGAGGAAAAAAUAUAAAUUAUAUAUCAAAGCCAUAUGCUGUUCUGCUUUGAUUUCUAAUGGAACUUAGUCAAUCUUGAGCUGAUUGGGUUUUGCUGUUGGACACAGAACAUGAAUGUAACUUAAAUGAAUCACAGCAUAUUUUAUACAGCAUAUGCUUGCCUUCUUCCCUGUGCUUUAUGUGGGCUGUGUAAGAGGGGAAGCAGAGAACUCACCAUAUUUAUAAUUAAAUAAUUAGCCUAAUAGCUCUUACAUAUCUGCCUUCCAUGCUCAACUGGAAGCUCCAUGACUGCCGAAACUAUGUCUGUCUUUUCACUGUGGAUCUGAAUUUCUUCUCCACAGUGCCUCCUAAUCCUGGACAACAGAACAUUGCUGGACAACCAUGGCAAAGCUGAGCUCAGUGGGCUCACCAUGGAUUUACUCUGAUCUGCAUUACUUAGAUCAUUAAUGUCAAUCCCUUUUUUCCCAGUAGCUUUAUGUCUGUUCACAUCAUUUCAUUCUCAAUUGCACUAGCUCUGUGCUUUUACCCUUAGCUGUUAUCCUCACCCUCUAUCUAAACAAGAGCUCCUUUGAUUUCCUUCCUCCUCACUUUAAAAUUUUCUUUUGCCUUUGAUCGUUCUCUUAUUUUUCUCAUCCUGUCUCAGGAAUGCUCUUUCUUCCCAAGGCUAUGCCUUCCUCUCUGUAUGGAUCCUGUCCCCUCCUGGCUUUCCAGGACUACUGCAUGAAUUACCUUCUAUUUUCUUGCAUCUUCAGUGUCACCCUUUUCAUGAGCUCUGCAACAGUCCUAUUGCCCAAGCUCUAGAAAAUCCCCCUCUUAAAUUAUUGUAUUUCUAGCCUUUCAUUUACUAUCUCAUUUCUCAAAAGUGCAAUAAACAUGUAAUUUCCCUUUUUCUACUCUUUUGGUUUGAGGCAUAUUAUCCUUCUAUUUCUCACACCUAAGGCCUCAAAUUCCACCUGUAAGGGGGUGAGCUUGCACUUAGGUUCUAGGCUAAAUCUAGUCACAAGAAAGCAACUAGUGCAGUUAGAUUCACAGUUUAGAGUGUCUGUGGAAAUGCUUCACCUUGGGAUGGGAUUCUGCCUGCAUUACUGUUACUUAAGCAUACUGAUGCCACCUGGAUAUUCACCUGCUUCAGCUUCUGCCUGUUGACCCCUUGCACACUACUUUCUCCCCCUCUCAUGUUUGGAAGAAUCAACCUCAAAAUGUUAACUUCAUUAUUGAUAAAGCCAACUGGGGAACAUGUCUUUAGAUGUUUGGUCAAAAGCCUUGCUGAGUUGAAUUUUCUCCUACAACAGCAGCCCAGAAUGCACUCUCUCUGCACUUGGUUUGCAGGCUGGCUUAUGGAGAGUCAGGGGUUAAGUGUUCUUCCAACUUUGCAAAAGAUAAAUCAGUCAUCUACUAGGAAAAGAGGAAAAUCAGAGAUAAGCUGAAAGCAUUCCUCUCAUAAUUUUCCAUUCCUGGGGAGUAGAUUUGACAUUUUCUUCCCUUAAUGGAAACAUGAGUCAUGAGGAAUAAAUGCUCCCUGCUAUCAGUCCUCUCUCUCCCUUCUAGGGCUUCUCCUGGUUCCUGUUCGGCCCCCAGAAAGCUUGUCUAAUCUUGGCUAGCCUGAUCCAGCCUCCACCAGCCCCGAUGCUGCUGGUAUACACUUGCUCCUUAACCACACAUACUGUGGUUUCUGCUUUAACAAUCAGCCAUAGGAUUUUAAUUACCCAAUCUAGCCACACGUUCUCAGUCCUUUUCUUCUCUAACUUCUCAGCUCAAAAAUUUUGAAUACAUCCCAUUUGAUUGUGGACAAAGAGGCAAUGAUCAUGGGGUAAUGCACUAUGUUUUUGUACACUAAGUUUCUUUUGUAAAUACCAUUGUUUCUGGCCAGGCGUGGUGGCUCACACCUGUAAUC